rnacentral:rRNA from 1 species
GAGUUUGAUCGUGGCUCAGAUUGAACGCUGGCGGCAUGCCUUACACAUGCAAGUCGAACGGCAGCAUGAUCUAGCUUGCUAGAUUGAUGGCGAGUGGCGAACGGGUGAGUAAUACAUCGGAACGUGCCCUGUAGUGGGGGAUAACUAGUCGAAAGAUUAGCUAAUACCGCAUACGACCUGAGGGUGAAAGUGGGGGACCGCAAGGCCUCAUGCUAUAGGAGCGGCCGAUGUCUGAUUAGCUAGUUGGUGGGUAAAGGCCCACCAAGGCGACGAUCAGUAGCUGGUCUGAGAGGAUGAUCAGCCACACUGGGACUGAGACACGGCCCAGACUCCUACGGGAGGCAGCAGUGGGGAAUUUUGGACAAUGGGCGAAAGCCUGAUCCAGCAAUGCCGCGUGUGUGAAG